ensembl:misc_RNA 7SK 7SK RNA
GGCUGUGAGAAUGAUCUUGCUGCAACAUCUCAUCCCAUUAAUCACCAGGGAUGAUGGGACUGACAUGGUUGGCGAGGCAGGUGUCCCCUUCUUCCUCUUCCGCUCCAUGUGUGUCCCUCCCAGUAGAAGAGGAGGACCUUCCCAGAAUGGAUGGUAUGUAAGUAGCUGCAUCCCCCAGCUAACACCUCCAAACAGGCUCACACACACACAAAGCUUUGUGGAGAAGGUUACAUCUAGAGAAGUGCACUGUCAAAGUUGGAUUGAGGCUAUCC